UUACAAGUAAUUAAGAUGGAAAAUUUCUCUGUCUCUCUCUUUUGGAUUGUUCGUUUCUAGUUUCAAAUAAAAUAGCUUUAUUUGUAAUUUAGUGGAUAACAAUUUACUGACCACAACCACUAUUGUCUAUCAAAUUGUCGACCACAUCCACAAGACUAUCCAAUUCAUGCCCACAUCCACAAGUUUUCGAAGAGACGAUUGAACAUUUACUCCCAAACACAACUAAACCACAACUAUCAUGACCACAAAUUUUGGGCAUACCAACACCAUUGUCCACGCUCCUGUCAACUAAUUUCACUAACCACGACAAUUAUGCGUCCAUAACCAUGCCUUUCACUACAUCAAAAUUCCUGACCACAACUGCUUCCUGCCGCACACAAUUCAACCACAACUACCUUAACCACAACUUAGACACCAACCAUCAGAUCAAUCUUAAGAUAAAAAAAUCUAUCGGCUGUGCUAAAAGCUCAGAGCUCCGUAAAUCUGACACAUAUUAAUUAUAAACCUACGUUACUGCUUUUAGUAGCGAUGUACUUCUUUUAACAAUAGCCGUCGGAUCCCUUUCAAAAAUAACUAAAUCUAACGGCUCGCCAUAAAGCCCACUGUCUCAUGCACCUACCCAUUAAUUUCAACCGGACAAUCUAACUAGAUACUCAAACCUAGUUCCUUCGACCCUUAUUUCUUAACCACAAAGUCCAUCCCGUCCAACGAAGAGGUUUUUUUAGAAGAGAAAAUGAUAAAGUAAGUCACAAAGUACUCCUCAAAUCCAGAGUAUGUGAAGAAACAAAACAGGAAAAGUAACCUUCUAUGUAAACAACUCCAUUGUUUAUACACAUUGAGGUGGUUUGUUAGUCACGAUAAUGUAGACCUGAGUUUGGACCUUGACACCUUGUUGGUCCAUCUAAACAUUCUGAUCUUAAACAUGCACUUGAAUCUGGGAAAAUCAAUGACUAAGGCGGCGGCUCAUGUUCCUUCUCUGAUGCACCCAAAAAUAGGGUGACAGUGAAAGGAAGGAUUGAUGUUGAAGAACAUAUGCCUCUCCUCACUAAGAAGCUCAAAUGAAUGUUGAACUUCUUAUACCGGCCAAAAAAAAAAUGAAGCCUCCAAACUGAAAAUUAAAUAAAUACAAAUAGAAUAAAAGAGUUCACCUGAAAAUAAUAGUUUCAAAUAAAAUAGCUUUAUUUGUAAUUUAGUGGAUAACAAUUUACUGACCACAACCACUAUUGUCUAUCAAAUUGUCGACCACAUCCACAAGACUAUCCAAUUCAUGCCCACAUCCACAAGUUUUCGAAGAGACGAUUGAACAUUUAUUCCCAAACACAACUAAACCACAACUAUCAUGACCACAAAUUUUGGGCAUACCAACACCAUUGUCCACGCUCUUGUCAACUAAUUUCACUAACCACGACAAUUAUGCGUCCAUAACCAUGCCUUUCACUACAUCAAAAUUCCUGACCACAACUGCUUCCUGCCGCACACAAUUCAACCACAACUACCUUAACCACAACUUAGACACCAACCAUCAGAUCAAUCUUAAGAUAAAAAAAUCUAUCGGCUGUGCUAAAAGCUCAGAGCUCCGUAAAUCUGACACAUAUUAAUUAUAAACCUACGUUACUGCUUUUAGUAGCGAUGUACUUCUUUUAACAAUAGCCGUCGGAUCCCUUUCAAAAAUACCUAAAUCUAACGGCUCGCCAUAAAGCCCACUGUCUCAUGCACCUACCCAUUAAUUUCAACCGGACAAUCUAACUAGAUACUCAAACCUAGUUCCUUCGACCCUUAUU
rnacentral:lncRNA from 1 species